CUUCCAUUAUUAAGAUAUAAUGCCUCUGUAUUACCACAUAAUACUUUGAUAUGGAAAUAUUUGCCUAGCAUCAGGUUUUACCACAUAAUGGUUGCAGCUGCUCCUAUAUUAUACCACUGGAUUCAUAAAAUGGAAUGUAGGGAGUAUUCUAUUUGCUUAAAAGUUGACCUUCUUACUUGCAGGCUUGUAGUACCUUCAGUUGACCUUUGUGACUUAAUUGGAUGAUUUAGAACUGUACUCUAAACCAUAAGUCUUUGACUUUAAGAUGCUCACUGUAAAGAGAAUCUCUCUCUGUGAAGUAGUUGCCUAUUUGACUGGCCUACCAGUUCUGCGAUAUUCGUUGGACAUUAGGAAGGAGCAUGUUAAUUUGGUUGAUGCACAAUUACAGAAGUUGGUAUACAGUGGCCGGCUUAGCUGAUCAAGAGGAAUUGGACAGAUUUGCUAAGCUGCAUUGACAAGGCAUUUGACUGCAUUUAUAUACUCUACUUUCAAUUUUAUUUCAUGGGUGUCGGGCGUUGGCAGCUUGCUAGCUGCUGGGUGACACGGCCGCGGGCAGCAGUUUAGUGUUCCUCUCAUAUUCAGUUAGGAUGAGAAGACUAGAUACUAUUCGGAAGUGGAUGUAGUACAUUCAGCCAGGUCCAGCCAGGUCUGAAGGCACGCUUAGUGUUUUUCCUGUUGAGUAAUUGGUAUGUACAUGGAGAGAUCUGAUUCUGUCAGCUUCAAAAUUUGCUAAUUCAUCAUCUUCUUUGUACAUACUCUUUGCAGAGAUACAAUCUAUAAGGGAUAUCAACACAUGGUUGCAGUGGUCCAUGUUGUGUACAGUAAUUACUUGAUGAGUAAUGUAAUUGUUGUGUAGUAGUUCAAUCUGGCUAUUAGAUAUUGCCAGCAUUUUCUUGCCAUUUGGUUAUUCAAAGAAUUGAUAUUAGGGUAGUAGGACAUAAUAAGACUUUUCGAUAAUAUACAGGUUAAAUAUGUAUUUAAUAAAGGUUCAUUGAUGCAGAGGAUGGGGCUUUCCCGUUUAAAAAGAAGUUAAAUAUGUGAUUAUGCAUAAAAGGAAGUCCCCGGUCUAUUUUUGUUGUGGUAUCUCGGCUUAAUGAUUCUUUCAAGGGAAGACAAGAUGGAAAAGAAGCAUCACGAACUAACCCUGGAGAAUUGAUUGUACCCCACUAGCGUCGCCAGUCUCCUAAGCAAAGGUUGGUGUAAGAACCUUCACCUCCUUCUGUUUCAUGGGAGCCGCUGGCGCCAUGUCGGACGCGAUGACAUCUGGAUUGGCAGAAAACACACAUUGGCUGCGAGCGCGGCCGUAUUUUGGAGCUAAACCUAGAAAGUUUCUUGAUUUAUGACGAAAGUGGAGUUCGUGUGGAAAAGGUGGAGGCAAAUCGGUCGAGGUGGGUUUACACAGGGCUGGCAGUUUGGUCCAUACACACGGAUACAAGAAAUAUGUAUUGGCUAUAUUUGCGUAUACUGUACAUACGAGGUUUUCAUUAGCUAAAUUUGGUUAUAU